GAAGGGGUGCACAAGCAAGCUGUGUCAGAUUAUCACCGGGUACGUCAGAAGACAUCAAAAAGGAUUGGCUGCAAUGCAAAGAUUAGAGUAAAAAAGAAGGAUGGCAAAUUUGUUAUAGAAAUGGUUCAACUCAACCACAAUCACAAGAUGCUGGAAAGCCCUGGGAUGCUUUUGCACAUGCGAUCACACAAAAAAGAUGAUCCUUUGAUAGACUAGUUAGUGAAAGACAUGCAACUGGACAACCACACACAUGCUCAGAUGAUGUCGACGCUGUCGCGUAUGUCCGGUGGUCUGCAGUACAUGGGACAUACUAGCCGCGGCUAGGUAAACAAGAAACAGAAGUUUGCUAGAAAAGAGUCUGAAGAUGAUGUCAAGAAACUUCUGGAUUUCUUCGAGAAAAUGCAAAAGAUAAACCCAGAGUUCUUCUAUGAUUAUGACGCGAACGCAAGUUGCAGAGGAUCGUAUGAAGAUUUUGGAGACUGUGUUACAUUUGACACGACAUAUAAAACUAACAAAUUCCACAUGCCGCUGGGAGUGUUUGUGGGGGUGAACCAUCAUCUACAGAGCACCAUAUUUGCUGUUGCACUCGUGCGAGAUGAAACAAUACCAUCAUUUGAGUGGGUUUUCAAAACCUUUCUGAGGUGUAUGAACAACAAGCCGCCAAUCUGCAUGCUCACAGACCAGUGUUCUUCCAUGAAGGCAACAUUAAAAACUAUCCUCCCACAAACUCUGCAUAAGCUGUGUCGGUGGCAUACCAUGAAGAAGUACAAGGACCACCUCGCCUUGCUGUAUAAGGCGCACGAGAAGCUCAAGGACGAACUCAAUGCAGUGCUGAACCACCCACUAAUGCUGUCAGAAUUUGAACGAGCAUGGAAGAACCUCAUACAGAGGUACAACUUGCAAGACGACGAAGUGAUGAAUUCACUGUGGGAUGAUAGGCACGAGUGGAUCUCAGCUUACUACAAGGAAAUUUUCUAUGCUCGGUUGACUUCCACACAGAGAAGCGAGAGCAUGAACCGCAUACUGAAGAAAAUUUUUGUCAGGGAGAAGCAUGAUCUCCAUCUGUUUGCUCAGCAUGUGAACAAGUGCAUUCAGACCAGGAAGGCCGUCGAGCACGCAGAGACAGUAGCAAAUGAGGUAAACAAAAUGUCAAUCAAAAACUACUAA
rnacentral:rRNA from 1 species